rnacentral:rRNA from 1 species
AUACGGAGGGUGCAAGCGUUAAUCGGAAUUACUGGGCGUAAAGCGUGCGCAGGCGGUUUGUUAAGUCAGAUGUGAAAGCCCCGGGCUCAACCUGGGAACUGCAUUUGAAACUGGCAAACUAGAGUGUGGUAGAGGGAAGUGGAAUUCCUCAUGUAGCGGUGAAAUGCGUAGAUAUGAGGAGGAACACCAGUGGCGAAGGCGACUUCCUGGACCAACACUGACGCUCAUGUACGAAAGCGUGGGUAGCAAACAGGAUUAGAUACCCUAGUAGUCC